GGCGGCAUAGCCAAGUGGUAAGGCAGUGGAUUGCAAAUCCACCAUCCCCGGUUCAAAUCCGGGUGCCGCCUCCA
rnacentral:tRNA from 1 species